rnacentral:rRNA from 1 species
AUUGAACGCUGGCGGCAUGCCUUACACAUGCAAGUCGAACGGCAGCGGGGGAGAAGCUUGCUUUUCCUGCCGGCGAGUGGCGAACGGGUGAGUAAUACAUCGGAACGUGCCCUGUAGUGGGGGAUAACUAGUCGAAAGAUUAGCUAAUACCGCAUACGACCUGAGGGUGAAAGUGGGGGACCGCAAGGCCUCAUGCUAUAGGAGCGGCCGAUGUCUGAUUAGGCAGUUGGUGGGGUAAAGGCCUAGCAAGGCGACGAUCAGUAGCUGGUCUGAGAGGACGAUCAGCCACACUGGGAAUGAGACACGGCCCAGACUCCUACGGGAGGCAGCAGUGGGGAAUUUUGGACAAUGGGCGAAAGCCUGAUCCAGCAAUGCCGCGUGUGUGAAGAAGGCCUUCGGGUUGUAAAGCACUUUUGUCCGGAAAGAAAUGGCUCUGGUUAAUACCUGGGGUCGAUGACGGUACCGGAAGAAUAAGGACCGGCUAACUACGUGCCAGCCGCCGCAGUAA